rnacentral:rRNA from 1 species
UACGUAGGGGGCUAGCGUUGUCCGGAUUUAUUGGGCGUAAAGAGCGUGUAGGCGGCCAGGUAGGUCUGCUGUGAAAACUCGAGGCUCAACCUCGAGACGUCGGCGGAAACCAUCUGGCUAGAGUCCGGAAGAGGAGAGUGGAAUUCCUGGUGUAGCGGUGAAAUGCGCAGAUAUCAGGAAGAACACCCGUGGCGAAGGCGGCUCUCUGGGACGGUACUGACGCUGGGACGCGAAAGCGUGGGGAGCGAACAGGAUUAGACUACCCCGG